UACGUAGGGUGCAAGCGUUGUCCGGAAUUAUUGGGCGUAAAGAGCUCGUAGGCGGUCUGUCGCGUCGGCUGUGAAAUCCCGAGGCUCAACCUCGGGUCUGCAGUCGAUACGGGCAAACUAGAGUAUUGCAGGGGAGAGUGGAAUUCCUGGUGUAGCGGUGAAAUGCGCAGAUAUCAGGAAGAACACCCGUGGCGAAAGCGGCUCUCUGGAACGGUACUGACGCUGAGACGCGAAGCCAGGUGGGAGCGAAGGCAGGAUGA
rnacentral:rRNA from 1 species